GAUCCCAUCAGAACUCCGAAGUUAAGCGUGCUUGGGCGAGAGUAGUACUAGGAUGGGUGACCCCCUGGGAAGUCCUCGUGUUGCACCC
rnacentral:rRNA from 15 species